AGUGAACGCUGGCGGUAGGCCUAACACAUGCAAGUCGAACGGCAGCACAGUACGAGCUUGCCCUUACGGGAGCCGAGUGGCGGACGGGUGAGGAAUACAUCGGCACCUACUUUUUCGUGGGGGAUAAUGUAGCGAAACUUACGCUUAUACCUCAUACGACCUACGGGUGAAAGCAGGGGAUCUUCGGACCUUGCGCGAUUGAGUGAGCCGAUGUCGGAUUGGCUAGUUGGCGGGGUUAAGGCCCCCACAGGCGGCGAUCCGUAGCUGGUCUGAGAGGAUGGUCGGCGACACGGGAGGGUGGACACGGUCCAUACUACUACGGGAGGGAGCAGUGUGCAAUAUUAGACAAUAGGCGGAAGCCUUGUCCAGUGGGACCGCGUGGGUUGAGACGGCCUUCGGGUUGUAAAGACCGUUUGUUGGUAAAGAAAAGCAUCAGGCUAAUACCCCGCUGUUGUGACGGUACCCAAAGAAUAAGCACCGGCUAACUUCGUG
rnacentral:rRNA from 1 species